ensembl:snoRNA
UGUGGAAAAGACAAAUUUCUGAACACAAAAGUGAUGAGCCCACCCAUGGCAGGCACUGGCCCAAAAGGCUGCCACAGAAACACUGUGGUGCAUGGGCCCUGAUCCCCUCUGCUGGGCUCAGGGAUAAGUUUGGCUACAGACAUAA